rnacentral:lncRNA from 1 species
AGAUGAUCUUGCUGCACCUCAAUCUAUAGCAUCCUAGCUGAAGGUCAGGCCAGGACAGUGAGACCUGACUCCUUGCUCCUACCAGCCUACUAUGGCUUAAGACCCAGGGCCAGGGUCCCGUUGAUGUAACAGAGCAGAGGACCAGCAGAUGAAUGGACACCUUGAAACAGAGGAGCAGCAGGACCAGAGGCCAGACCAGGAGCUGACCGGGAGCUGGGGCCACGGGCCUAGGAGCACCCUGGUCAGGGCUAAGGCCAUGGCCCCGCCCCCACCGCCACUGGCUGCCAGCACCCCGCUCCUCCAUGGCGAGUUUGGCUCCUACCCAGCCCAAGGCCCACGCUUUGCCCUCACCCUUACAUCGCAGGCCCUGCACAUACAGCGGCUGCGCCCCAAACCUGAAGCCAGGCCCCGGGGUGGCCUGGUCCCGUUGGCCGAG